CGGGAUGACGUCACUCGAGGCCUGCUCUUGGUCUCCAUCUUUGCUUGUGAGGUGACCAACCCCUUCAUCCCCAUGCACUUCCCAGUCCAGUAGAGGAGACGGACAUUAAAAGAGCGAUAUAAAGAUGAUAAUAAUCAUAAUAAUAAUUUGGGCAACACUUAACAGACAUACAAGUGUGAGGAGCAGCUUCACCCUGGGUAGAAAACCUCCCUUAUGAGCCGUUCCCUUGAUACGGCGCUUGGGAUCAUCCAAUCAAAGUCUGAACAGGCCAUGCUGCUUCUCUAGGUUUCCUUUCUGGUACAAGAGCUUCUGGGACUUUACAGGAACCGAAACAUCCCUCACCUCACUGAAGUGCUGGAUUUCUGAAGGAGUUGGGUCAGCUCCUUGAGGGCAACACAUUAUCAGUGCCAUCUGGAAAUCCUUGAAAACGGAAACUCAGCCACCCUCCUCCACCUCUUCUGUUUCAUUUCCCAUUAAAUAUUAAGUGUGUUCAAAUUAAAUGUACUUCAGUUUCCAAAUGAAGAGUUUGCAAAGGCCGGGCCUUUCUUGAAAAUGAGGCAGAAGUCUUUCUCGAAGAAUUCUGAAAAUAGAAUGCAACUCACUUGCCUUCUGCGUGGUAUUUCUUCCAGAACGUCAGUGUCCAUCAUCAUUAUUACGGGCUCUGUCCCUGCUCUGUAUUGCAAGGGGGAAGAAACAUAGAAAACAUUUGGUUAGUGAAUGCUAAAACCAUGCAGCCAAGUGUGAAAUUAUUUCAUGUUCCCUUUCAUUACCGAAUGGACAGUUAAUGAUUUGACCGGUGUCUACCCUUACAGAGUUCUGCCUAUAAACCGUUCCCAAAGAGAA